CACGUAGGGGGCAAGCGUUGUCCGGAUUUAUUGGGCGUAAAGAGCUCGUAGGCGGCUCGGUAAGUCGGGUGUGAAACCUCUGGGCUCAACCCAGAGACGCCACUCGAUACUGCCAUGGCUAGAGUCCAGCAGGGGAGCGUGGAAUUCCCGGUGUAGCGGUGAAAUGCGCAGAUAUCGGGAGGAACACCAGCGGCGAAGGCGGCGCUCUGGGCUGGAACUGACGCUGAGGAGCGAAAGCGUGGGUAGCGAA
rnacentral:rRNA from 1 species